rnacentral:rRNA from 1 species
GUCAUCAACCUGCAUCGAUUACGUCCCUGCCCUUUGUACACACCGCCCGUCGCUUCUACCGAUUGGUCGUCCCGGUGAACAAUCGGGAGGCCGUGCUCAUGGUCAGCAAUGGCCGGAGCGCGGUUGAACUUUUGUAAAUUUGGACGACUAGAGGAAGAAGAAGUCGUAACAAGGUUUCCGUAGGUGAACCUGCGGAAGGAU